rnacentral:misc_RNA from 1 species
UUUCCGUAGGUGAACCUGCGGAAGGAUCAUUAUUGUAUAACCUAGCGGCGAUGUCUGUCGCUGACCCGAAAAGUCGUGCACACCCGAGUGCCCUCACGCGCAUCCAUCUUUCCCAUAUGUGCAUCACCUCGUGGGUGCCUCGUUGGCUUGUUCGGAGGGAGGCUUAAGUAUUCACUCAAUCUGUUCAUGCAUUGUAGAAUGAAUUUUUUGUUUUUGCGAGCAUGCAAUCGAUAUAACUUCCAACAACGGAUCUCUUGGCUCUCGCUUCGACUAAGAACA